rnacentral:rRNA from 2 species
AAACUUCUUUAUCACCGAGUGCUUGCACUCACCGAUAAAGAGUUGAGUGGCGAACGGGUGAGUAACACGUGGGCAACCUGCCCAAAAGAGGGGGAUAACACUUGGAAACAGGUGCUAAUACCGCAUAACCAUAGUUACCGCAUGGUAACUAUGUAAAAGGUGGCUAUGCUACCGCUUUUGGAUGGGCCCGCGGCGCAUUAGCUAGUUGGUGAGGUAAAGGCUUACCAAGGCAAUGAUGCGUAGCCGAACUGAGAGGUUGAUCGGCCACAUUGGGACUGAGACACGGCCCAAACUCCUACGGGAGGCAGCAGUAGGGAAUCUUCCACAAUGGGCGAAAGCCUGAUGGAGCAACGCCGCGUGGGUGAAGAAGGUCUUCGGAUCG